AACACGUGGGUAACCUGCCUUAUAGUGGGGGAUAGCCUUUCGAAAGGAAGAUUAAUACCGCAUAAGAUUGUAGUAUCGCAUGAUAUAGCAAUUAAAGGAGCAAUUCGCUAUAAGAUGGACCCGCGUCGCAUUAGCUAGUUGGUGAGGUAAUGGCUCACCAAGGCGACGAUGCGUAGCCGACCUGAGAGGGUGAUCGGCCACAUUGGGACUGAGACACGGCCCAGACUCCUACGGGAGGCAGCAUG
rnacentral:rRNA from 1 species